GAUCAAUCUUAUCAAAUGUUUCUUCGUCAAUGAUUUUUGAGCUUAGCAGUUCCGCAGGAGAGACCUGUGCUCUUAAGCCUUGGAAAGCUGCUCUGACUGUGGUUUCUGUGGUGGUAGGGGUGCUGGCGAUAGUGGUGACCGUGGUAGAGGUUAUGGUAGUGGUCACAGUCUUCUCUUGAAUGGUGGAGAUGAGGAUCUGCAGGAGAUUGUCAAUGGUCAAAGUUUUCUGCUUCAGCUUUUGCAUCAGCUCUCUCCUUUUCUCCUCAGUGAUGUAUUCAGAGUGGAGCAGCUCCCAGGCACUCACAGUCUUUCCUUGGUACUUGCCACCUGCUUUGUCGGUGGUGGUGGACUUUAGGAGGCUAGUUGUUUGUGCAUCAAUUUGAACAUAUCCUUCACCUUUCUUGACAAGGUUUAGCAGGCACAGUCCCGUGUCAGGGU